rnacentral:lncRNA from 1 species
GCCGGGGCCACCGCGGGCUGCCCGGAGGAGGCUGCGCCGGGGCCUCCCGCCGCCCUCCCCGGGCGAAGCUGGGCUCUCCCUCCUAGGCCCGGCUGUUGCUGCUGCUUCUGGAGACCAAGGUGGAAACCAAGGGAUGACGAACACCAUCGUGCUAAGCCAUGUUCAGGUAGUUGGGUCUGAACUGCAAUAGGUGGCUUUUCCAGUCAUUGACGUUUAUGGAAUCAACCUUAUGCUGUUGUUAGAAGCUUCAUUUUUUUCUGCACUCCAAGCCCAGAAGUAGAGAAGAAGGAAGGAGAAAAACUGACUAAACAAAGCCUUAAAAAGGUAAAUGCUACGCUGAGUUUCUACUAUUUGUUCAAGAAGCUGCAUCCUUCUGAAACUAAGUGAAUAUGAUUAAGGCACUAUUGGCAUACAUUAGAGGCRUUUUAUUGCAUAAAGCAGGAAUAUGUGAGUAUAUAUUUUAGUCAUUUAGGUACUGUUUUCCUUUCCUGUAUUAUCUGAACAUAUCCUACUUAAUAUUUUUGUUGUUUUUUUAUAUUUUUGCCUCUAAGGAAAAAUAACUCAUUUCUGUAACCUGUUAUGUUCACAUGAAGCAAAAGCAAGUUAGAGCGUCUUUGUUUUUUAGCCACGGUGCGAUGAUUGUGAUAGUCCCAAUAUGGAUGUUGCCUAAGUGGUAAAAAAUGUAAAAGUUUUCUCUUUUCUUUCACACAAGCUUGAGUGUGCAUGUCUCAUUGUUCUGGAAUCAAGCUUCCCAGAACUUUCUUUCCUGUAAAAAUUGAGUGAAGUGGUCAUACAUCCCAUUCCAUGGCUACCCCUUCCCUUCCUUGCCAUGGGAAUCCAGCUCUGCAUAAUCACUGCUUCUAAUGCUCGCUUUCCUUCAUGCCUUCCCAGCCACACUGCAGAAGCCUGCUGCAGCGUGUGCCACAAAGUGACCUGUAUCAGAGACAUGAAUCAGACCAGUUGCCUUGAAGAUCUCCAUAUAGGAAUCCUCCAUUAA